UUUCGUUAAUAUCCUCUAGCCUCUGAAGUACCUUUUAAACAGAUACUGACAAGUUUGAUAUUCCGUUGAAUAUUUCUAGCUAGCUGAGACACUCAACUCUAAACUCAUAAUAUAUUUUUUCCUACAAAAUUGUUUGUUCCAGUUAACGAAAUUUCGUCUUCAUUCAAUUACGGGAUGCAGUGUCUUCGUGUCGAACGGAUCAGGGCCUCAGCGAGCUCUUGGCGUUCUUUCUAGAGGAGUUUUCUUUUCCCGAAUAGCGAAUGAAGUGCCUUCCUGUAAGAUGGUUUCUGAGUGUAUUGCGGAUGUGGAAAAAGUCGGCCUGAAGGCAUACAGAUAUUUCCAGGCACCGACCCCUGAGCCACCGGUCGUCGUCGUCUGGACUUCCCACUGCGCCCACUGGGUGGGGGUCCUGGCUGGGCCCAUCAUACUCGCGCUUCUUUUCAAGCUUAUCUACGACAUUAUCAAAAUACGAAGCGCAACAAAUGUUGGAGUGGAUCCGGCAGAAAACUCGGAGCUUGCCGAAGGGGAAGGACUGGUGCCCGCAGAGCAGGACAUAGAGCGUCCUGCUGCUGCAGGGGCAGCUCGAAAGGAAGGUGGCGACGCAUGGUAUUGGGAUCCGCUUCGUGGCUUUAAUCUGAAUUGAUUUCGUUGCUAUUGUUGUUAUUGCGGCGAGGGGAAUCGGACACGGCGGCACUGAGCUCAGCUCAUCCCAUCUGACGCCCGAGUCGUCGGAGUCCUCGAAUGGUGGAGUGACAUCUACAUCGGCAGCUGCCGGUUGUUACUGCUGCGCCUGAUUCUGGUUGUUGUUGUUGUUGGAUCGUAAACGCUUCUCCUCCAAACCGAUGGCGUGGCUGUUCCCGUCAGCUCUGCGGCUGUGUAAAGUCUGGCGCUUGGCCGAAGGGCUCCAGUCGAGGGGAUGAUGUACUACUGAUUUUGAUUGUGUCUAAAAUAAGGUUUAAGCCAAAACAAUUUCCACUUAAUUCAUUUCUUUAUAUGUUAAUACACGCCAACUACACAUUUGUCCUUGCAGAAGGCAUUGUGGUAGUGGUAACCUGGCACACUC